GCACAGAAAGAGAGAGAGAGAGAGAGAGUGUGUGUGUGUGUGCUUGUGGGGUUGUGACGGCUCACAUGUUGCGUUCUUAGCUUCCAUCCAUCCUUCCCAUUUACCGCUGCUUUUCUUGUUCUUGUUGUCGUUUGCGCCCUUUUGCGAUGCCCUUCUUUUGCUGGGACUGAGAAGAGAGAGAAAGAGAGGAGCGGAUGGGGAGGGAAGUGAUGAGGUCACGCCGCUGGAAUUGAGGUUGCAGCGGCUCUGAAUUGAAUUGAAUUGCUUGCCGACUUGGGCUUUCCAAGAACAGGUAGAAAACAUCACCGACCAGCGCAUGGAGGCAAGCGCAGGUCUGGUCGCCGGCUCCCAGAACCGGAACGAAUUCGUGCUCAUCCGCCGCGACGGUGAUAUGGGGAUAUUUUCUACAUCUUUUCUUCUUGGCGUCGAACAAACGAAUCGUUAGGAUUUGUGUUUUGUGUUCAGUUUUCUGUUAGUUAGAAGGUUUUGAUUCGAUCUCCGCCUGCAGCUGAAGCCGCUGCAGCAGCUGAGCGGGCAAAUCUGCCAGAUCUGCGGCGACGACGUCGGCCUCACCGUCGACGGGGAUCUCUUCGACGCCUGCAAAGAGUGCGCCUUCCCCAUUUGCAGGACUUGCUACGAGUACGAGCGCCGGGAGGGCAACCAGGUUUGCCCCCAGUGCAAGACCAGGUUCAAGCGGCUCAAGGGGUGUCCUCGUGUGGUUGGUGAUGAAGAAGAGGAUAACAUUGAUGAUCUUGAGAAUGAAUUCAACUUCGUCAGGGGAGAAAAGCAGGACUCACAGGACAUAGCUGAGGCCAUGCUGCAGACCCACAUGAGUUAUGGCCACCAGGGUGACAUCAACACGCCUUAUGUGGUUCAUCCUGUGCCUCAAGUCCCUCUCCUCACCAAUGGCGAGAUGGUUGAUGACAUUCCUCCAGAACAGCAUGCUCUCGUUCCUUCAUUCAUGGGUGGUGGAGGGAAAAAGAUUCAUCCGCUUCCCUUUUCAGAUCCCAAUCUUUCAGUGCACCUUAGAUCCUUCUAAGGAUCUCUCGACCUACAGAUAUGGGAGCGUGGCUUGGAAGGAGCGGAUGGAGAAUUGGAGACAGAAGCAAGAGAAAAUGCACAAGAUGAGGAAUGAUGGUGGUGGUAAAGGUUGGAAUAAUGAUAAAGAGGAACCUGAUUUACCACUUUCUACGAUGGAAUUGCUGAUGUACGUUUUAGCUCAGAGCUUCCAGAAUGUCAGAACUCCAUAAGUUUUUGUUUGACAAGAUAAGAGCCACUUUAUGCACCAGUUAUAAAUCAUGAAUUUCACUGUAAUUUUUUCUUUCAUUAUUUGCGAGUUCUUGUUUA